rnacentral:rRNA from 1 species
GACGAAGGGGGGCUAGCGUUGUUCGGAAUUACUGGGCGUAAAGCGCGUGUAGGCGGUUGCCCAAGUCGGGUGUGAAAGCCUUGAGCUCAACUCAAGAAAUGCACUCGGUACUGGGUGACUAGAGGACCGGAGAGGAUAGUGGAAUUCCCAGUGUAGUGGUGAAAUACGUAGAGAUUGGGAAGAACACCAGUGGCGAAAAGCGGCGCACUGGACCACAUCUGACGCUGAGGCGCGAAAGCUAGGGGAGCAAACGGG